CUCUGCUACUUGGGGGGGGGGGUACUGUCUAUCUUCCAUGUUCAGGAUACCUGGUAUACUUGCCCCAAGAGAUUAACCAUGAGGAGAAGCCUCCAGACUGGCCCUGAAGCAAGAGUAAAUCUGGUAAGACGGAAGAAAGAAGCCACCGAGAGACAGCAGUUGAAAGAGGAGGAAUCCUAAGUCCUGUGGAUUCUGGGCACUGGCUGAUGUCUUGCCAUUUCUGGCCCACAUUCCUCUCUUGUAUGGAGUUUUGAGGUGUUGUAUGUGAACCUGGAGGCCCCAGGACUUCCAGAAAACGCUGGAGGAAACGCUGUACGCUCUUGUCAUCACAGUGCUUGAACGAAAGGCCAGAGGAUCCACGUCCAGGCUUCUCAACUUUGACUAGUCCUUUCACAGUGUUGGGGGGAGGGGGGGCGGAUUCAUUAGGAAGCCAGUGUUUUCUAAAAUGCCAGGGUGCCUCUGUCACUGCCUGUGUUUUGCUUUGAGUUUGUCCCUCAGCGAUGUAAUAGAAUCCUAAAAGUUACUCCUCCCGUUGAUAUCUGACCACCCUCUUCCACUGUGCCAUCCCCUGCAGGGAUUUAUGGCUUGGUGAGGAGCCUCCACAUAUCCUUGACUGGAUACCAGCACCAGCUUAUUGCCAUAUCAUCCUCAUCAGCCUGGCUUUAAUCGCCUCCAAACCUGAUAACCAUCGGAGGCAGUUCAUCCCUGCAAAUUAUCUAAUCCACAUGUUGUUCAAUUUGUGUAAACCUCAGCCCACGAGGAUCAUAAAAUAAACAAGCAUGAAAUGGUU
rnacentral:lncRNA from 1 species